GCCGGGCGUGGUGGCGCAUGCCUGUAAUCCCAGCUACCUGGGAGGCUGAGGCAGGAGAAUUGCUUGAACCCGGGAGGUAGAGAUUGCAGUGAGCUGAGAUCAUGCCACUACACUCCAGCCUGGGUGACAGGGUGAAACUCUGUCUCCA
rnacentral:SRP_RNA from 1 species